ensembl:lncRNA
CAGUUCCUCCUCGGUCUCCUGCUCCUCUGUGGGGGUGAACUCUUACUCUGCAGGAUCUCUUUCUCUUACCUUUAUAGAGAGAAACAUGAAACGAACCGAAACUUUGUUAGUAAAUGUUAUUUCAUUCGUAACUUUGCAAAAGGAUUCUGAUGAACUUCACAGACUGAGGAGUUUACUUGUUGAAGAGCUUCAGUUCACAUCACUCAAGACGUCCAAGGUAAAGAGAGAAUGACUCAAUGUUUGUGUGAUUAUAUUAACAUUUAUUACGUGAGGAUUCAUGGAUUACACAAGAUAUUUACAGAAUUAAACUGAAAAGGGAUGCAAUUCAUUGAUUAGGGUUCAGGAUGUAACCUGGGUUAGGGCUCAAGUUAUUACCCACGAGUUACUGCAAUGUGGUCAAACAGGACAACCAGUGAACGCAGGAGAGUAAAAAAAGGUAAACAAAAGACGGCACACGUGUGUUCAGACUGUCGUACAUAAAAACAUACGACACAAAAAAAGUCAGUGUAAACUUCCCGGAUGGUCCAUAAAAGAGUGUAAUCAUCACAAACCGAGGCAGAAUACCACUUCAAACAAAUCAAUCAAUUCACAGCAACAUAAAAAGACUAAAAACCACAAAAUAGAAAUGCACAAGCAGGAUGGCUGCUCUAUCACUGUGUCACAGCAGAAAGACACAAGAAAAGCAAACAUAACAUAAUAACACAUGCUAGUGACUUAUUAACAAGUCUACCAUAUAAGAGGUAAGAGCCUCUUCUCCUCUGUCUCCUCUCACAGGGAGGAGAUGAUCUGCAGCAUCCUGGUGAUCUUCAUCCUGACCUCCUGUGUCUGUGCAGGGUCAUUUGUAGUGAAUGUGACACAGAGCUGGUAUCAUGCAGAGGAGAACCACAACAUCUCACUGGAAUGGAUGUUCCCCACCAGCACGGACCCCUCCCCCAACGUCCUUCAUGUCUACUGUGUGAUGUUAGCUGAUGAGAGACCCUCACUCAUGUUUCAUCUGUAUGAAGGUGUCGAGGUCCCACAGAUUCAGGAUGAACGCUUUACAGGACGACUCCAGUGGGACAAAGACGUCCUCAGAGAAGGACGACUCAGACUUCACAUCUCCAGACUCCAGACUAAUGACUCGGGGCUGUACUGGUGUCAAGUGCUCACAAGUUAUGGGAAGAACUAUAAGGAAUGUCACCUCAAUGUCACUGCAGUGAAGGAUCGACCCGAACCUGAGACAUCGAGUGACACCAGACUGAGAAGAGAUCCUCGGGGAAGGAUCGGCCUCUACUGUGCACUGGGACUGACAGCAGCUCUACUGGUUCCUUUAUUUUAUCUCUGCUUUGCAAACAAGACCAGUGAUCAGCAGAACAAACGAUAACCCAGCAUUGCUCCUGUAGCUGUGACCACAGAGUGAGAAUGGAGUGAAUAUUAGUUACUGACGGCAGGAAGCUGCUCAUCAGUGUGAGAGUGGUUGAAUGAUGUGUGUGUGUGUGUAUAUAUAUAUAUAUAUUUAUAUUUAUAUUUAUAUACCGGUUUAAUUUUUGUGUUCUCUGACUGAGAUUCAAAGGAAAUCCACAGUCUUUACAGACUGAAGUUUUUUUUUGUUCUAGACCUUCAGCUCCUCUAACAGAGACUCUGACUACUGAACAUAUUCUGCAUUAAGCAUCGUGCUGCUCGUCAUCAAAGACUAAUGUUUAUUCUGGUUCCUGAUCAUAAAGAAAAGGAGAAGCCAUAAAGCCUGUAUGAAGAGAAAUAGAUCCUCACGCUGCCUCAAUAUUGCAUUUUGCACAUAAUGCGAUUAAUCGUUGUUAACCACAGAAAAAUAAU